rnacentral:rRNA from 1 species
UACGGAGGGUGCAAGCGUUAUCCGGAUUCACUGGGUUUAGAGGGUGCGUAGGUGGGAAUGUAAGUCAGUGGUGAAAUCUCCGUGCUUAACAUGGAAACUGCCAUUGAUACUAUGUUUCUUGAAUUUUUCUGGAGGUCAGCGGAAUAUGUCAUGUAGCGGUGAAAUGCUUAGAUAUGACAUAGAACACCAAUUGCGAAGGCAGCUGACUACAGGGAUAUUGACACUGAGGCACGAAAGCGUGGGGAUCAAACAGG